UUGACAGAACCAAAGACUAAAAUCUUCUCUUGAGCUGCAAAGCAGAUACAACUGGACUGCAAAGCAGUUCCAGGGGCUGUGAAAGAGUCCUUCCUCAGUCAUGCCAGUGGAGCUCGAGCCUGAAACAGUGGACCACGUCCAGGGGUGAGAGGGGAAUUAAUUCUCCAUUGCCCGUUCAGUGUUUGGCCUCU
rnacentral:sRNA from 1 species